rnacentral:rRNA from 1 species
AUCUAUAGCCAUGCUACCCUGAACAAGCUCGAUCCUGUCUGAUCUUGGAAGCUAAGCAGGGUAGGGCCUGGUUAGUAUUUGGAUGGGAGACAACCUAGUAAGACCAGGUGCUGUAGGCA